GAUGAACGCUAGCUACAGGCUUAACACAUGCAAGUCGAGGGGAAACGAUAUUGGAAGCUUGCUUCCGAUAGGCGUCGACCGGCGCACGGGUGAGUAACGCGUAUCCAACCUGCCCACCACUUGGGGAUAACCUUGCGAAAGUAAGACUAAUACCCAAUGAUAUCUCUAGAAGACAUCUGAAGGAGAUUAAAGAUUUAUCGGUGAUGGAUGGGGAUGCGUCUGAUUAGCUUGUUGGCGGGGUAACGGCCCACCAAGGCGACGAUCAGUAGGGGUUCUGAGAGGAAGGUCCCCCACAUUGGAACUGAGACAAGGUCCAAACUCCUACGGGAGGCAGCAGUGAGGAAUAUUGGUCAAUGGGCGAGAGCCUGAACCAGCCAAGUAGCGUGCAGGAUGACGGCCCUACGGGUUGUAAACUGCUUUUAUAAGGGAAUAAAGUGAGCCUCGUGAGGCUUUUUGCAUGUACCUUAUGAAUAAGGACCGGCUAAUUCCGUGCCAGCCGCCGCAGUAA
rnacentral:rRNA from 1 species